AUGGUGCUGCUGGCCAAUAGCAGAGGAGGCAGCAAGGGUUGCAGCGGCGAUAGGGGCCCGAGGAGAGGCCGGCUAUGGAGGCAAAGCAGACGUCGAAGCAGGGGCAAUGGGAGCCGGCGGGGACGCGGGGUCGCGAUGGCGGGAGCGGGCCGUCCUGGUACUGCGGGGCUGGCUGCCAUGCGAGCUCCUGCUCCUGCCGAAGACAACGGCGGCGGCCCUGCGAGAUGGGACUUCAGCGAGAGAAAACGCGACGAGAGGAAGGGGAGGCCAUGGAUCGGGCACAUGGAGCUUGAGGCACCGGAGGAAGGAGGAGGCCAUGAGCACGAGGAACACCGCGUCGCUCGCUGGAUGGAGCUUGCAGGCGGCGAGGAUGGAGCCAUGUGGGCGGCGGGGCGGCGAGGUGCGCUAGCGAUGACGGGGAUCGAGCGCGGGGGCUCCUGCGUGCAUGGGUGGGGCGAGACACCGCUCCUGUCUAGCGGUGCGAGCAGGGGAAGAGAGGAUCGGGAGAGAGUGGGGACCGGUCGAGGCGCUGCGUGA
rnacentral:rRNA from 1 species